rnacentral:lncRNA from 1 species
UUCGUUUUCUCUUUUCCCCUCUCUUCCCUUUCUCCUGACAAGUUUGUUUUGGAAUUCUAUCAUGUAAUGUUAAAAUUUUUAGUGUUGAUGUUUUUGUUGGUGACCCAUGUAUUUUUUUUGGCCUAAAGCUCUAACCUUCAUAAUAAUGUGUUGUUUUUUUUUUGUUGAUGAGCCAGAUGAUUUUUUGGCCUAAAUUUUGAAGCUUUGUGACAUUUUUUUUUUGUUUCAUGUGAAAUUUCCUGAUAUUGAUUUGUUUAUUUUUCGUGUAUUUGCAGAGGUUUGGCUUGGUGGUUUGUUGAUAAGUGAAAAUGAAUUAUUAUGGAUAUGAGCAAAAGAGCGCCAUGAUAGGAGGUUGUGAGGAAAGGGAGAGGAUGAUGGUGGUGGUGGAGUCUGUGGUUUGUCCGAAGCCAAGGAGAUUGGGACUUUUAAAUCCUCCUCUUAAUGAACAAAUCAGACCUCUAAGAUUGCCUGUC